rnacentral:rRNA from 1 species
AAGCCACGGCUAACUACGUGCCAGCAGCCGCGGUAAUACGUAGGUGGCAAGCGUUAUCCGGAAUUAUUGGGCGUAAAGCGCGCGUAGGCGGUUUUUUAAGUCUGAUGUGAAAGCCCACGGCUCAACCGUGGAGGGUCAUUGGAAACUGGAAAACUUGAGUGCAGAAGAGGAAAGUGGAAUUCCAUGUGUAGCGGUGAAAUGCGCAGAGAUAUGGAGGAACACCAGUGGCGAAGGCGACUUUCUGGUCUGUAACUGACGCUGAUGUGCGAAAGCGUGGGGAUCAAACAGGAUUAGAUACCCUGGUAGUCCACGCCGUAAACGAUGAGUGCUAAGUGUUAGGGGGUUUCCGCCCCUUAGUGCUGCAGCUAACGCAUUAAGCACUCCGCCUGGGGAGUACGACCGCAAGGUUGAAACUCAAAGGAAUUGACGGGGACCCGCACAAGCGGUGGAGCAUGUGGUUUAA